CAGGUGGUGUAACGAUGUUGAGGAGCGCUUUAAGCGCUGGGCUGGAGAUGUAUAUGGAUAUUUUGGCCAAGCAUUACCUCAUAAUGGAACAUUAUGGGCUCUGACUCCAGCGAUACUAUCUAAUGACUCGCUUUUCAGGGAAGCGAGAAUUGAGAAUUGAGAAUAUUUUUCAGCAGCUUCAUGCGAGGCUGAAAAGUUCAAAUCCAUCUUGGAAUGUCAGUUUUUAAAGAUACCGGCCAAUAUUCCUCCAGGUAGAUAUUAUCCCUUGUGCACAGGCUUACUAAUUAGAGAAGGUAACUAUAACUAAAUGCGAUGAUGCUCUAGAGACAUGCGUUCAAAAUGAACACUGGCUAUGGGUUUAUAUUUAAGUGUUGUAUCUGUUGGAAACGUGAUUCCUUUGGAUUUGAAUAUCUACCCUGGCUCCUGACUGAAUUAAAAUCCUAACAGCAGCUUCGUGGCCCCUUUCGGCCGCUAUGUGCAGAGGAGUGCGUCCUUCAAGGUCUAUGAUAUUCCCAUCAGCGCCUUUCUCGAGCAAGAUUGAUAUAACCUCCACAUUCCCUGUUCCAGCUGCGUAAUGCAACGCAGAAGCCCCAGACCCAUCGCGCUUGUUGAUAUCGGACCCGAAUUCUAAGAGGCAUCGCACAAUAUUGGCGUGGCCAUUCUCUGCGGAUAGGUGAAGCGCCAUUUUACCCUCGGAGUCAUGACAUUUUUCGGGCUCUGAAUGGCUCUGUAAAUGCAUGAGAAAAGGAGAGCUCUGAGCGAUCCUUCCUGUGUUCUCGCUAUAGGAGCGCAGUCUUUUGGGUGGGCCGAAUAUAUUCCCUGGCCAUCCUGGGGGAACGCCGAUCAAGCCGAGAUCAUCCUCGGAGACAGAUGUUUGUGCGGAUGAUAAAGGUGGACAAGGUUCAAUUGUAGCAAGCGCCGCAGAAUAAGAUUGUGCGGCAGGGCUGCCGAUAUCAGAAUCCGUCCCAUCGAACGCCGCGCUAAGGUCAGGACUGUUGGUCACCAGGCAACUUAGAUUCCCUACAUCUUCUGAGAAUUGGGGCCUUGUGACUCCACUGGGAUUUUGGGGGAUAUCCUGGUCCCUCCACAAAUUCCCCAGGGUGGUGCUCGUGCUGCAAAUCUCGUUGGCGCGCCGGCGCUGUUGAGAGGAGCGAGAGGAGUGGUUUAUGAUUUGAUUGUCGGAUUGCCAUACAGCGGGGAUAUGCCGAUAGUGGUCGUGAAGGUUUGACGAGCGACAGGCCUUACCGAACGGCGGGGGAUGCGAAGGGGCAAGUGAUCCAUGCACAUUCGCGGGAUCCUCGUCCGAAGCGUGUUCGUUAUAUUUGAUAUUAUUGCUCGGCUGUACCUGCACAUCGGCAUGUGCAUUGGGACCCUCUCGUAAUUUUUGCUCCUCAUUUCCGUUCAGCUGGGCCUUCUUUUUACCUAUUCGUGUCACUUAGCUUUGGUCGCCGAUUCUCCUCUGGAUAAGGGAUGGACAGCGUACGGUGAUUCCUUUGAGCAAUCCGAUUCUGAAGACGACGGCGUUCUUUCGCCGCGAGCUGCUCUCGAGAAGUUUUCUCCUCGGUUUUGUUCUCUUCUGACGAUUGCCACAUCGGCAAGAUCAACUUUGUGUGGACUUCUGUUCUUUAAUGAAAUAACCGUCAGAAAAUGUCAAUGACAACAUUGGCCAAGGAAGAGUGUCAAUAUUCACAUGUAUAUCUGCAGGAUGCAAGGUCCCAUCCCAACAGAAUUGGCUAAUCUGGGUCGUUAUUAAUAAUAUUUUGUGGUAUAUUGCAUAUGCAUUCUCACAUGGCUAACCAUGGGAAAUUAGUUGCUCACGCUUUAGUCAACCAAGCACGAUAAACUCACUUGCCGUACAAACUGGCUUUAUUUUAGCGGGAAGUAGCAGGAACCUUGCAUAUUUCUGACUUCGGCCCAAAAGCCCACAAAGCAGUUGAUCCGCUAGUCGCUUCAUAGCAAUCGAUCGACAGGGUUAGGACAGCUUUUCCACCUAUGAUAUCUUGGUAUCGAGGGUCAUUCUUGGACCCAUUGCUUAAUUUUUCAUCGAUCGCUCUGAAACGAGGGAUACAUACCUGGUUUGGGUAGAGUCGGAGAAAAUGGUUUUGAGAUCUCCUGCUGUGAUUGCAGGGUGGGAUCUCUCUUCCCCCGAGCACUGAGCAGUAUGGGGUAAAAGGUUGCACCCGAAAACAAUUCCGGGGGUCUUGAAUUGAAUUCUCACAUGGGUCCUUGAAGAUCACAACGAGAGACCAAUUGGUUGGCAAUGCGAGUCAGAGUUUCGGUGUCAUCGUAAACCCAAGGAGAGAUGAUGCAAAAUCAUUCUGACUCUAGCUGCAGCUAUGGGAUGAAUGGAUGACCAUGAGAUGGUGAAAGGAAAAAUACGUGCUGGACAAGGCUUUCAACGUGAGCCAUCUAUCAAACUAACAAUGGGACUCUACUUAGUUCAGUCCGCCCCAGCUCAACUGGUUCGGUAGUAUGCAAGUUACGC
rnacentral:sRNA from 1 species